GAUGAACGCUGGCGGCGUGCUUAACACAUGCAAGUCGAACGAGAAGUGAAGACGGAAACCUUCGGGCGGAAGGCUUUAUUUCGAGUGGCGGACGGGUGAGUAACGCGUGGGUAACCUGCCUCAUACAGGGGGAUAACAGUUGGAAACGACUGUUAAUACCGCAUAAGACCACAGCACCGCAUGGUGCGGGGGUAAAAACUCCGGUGGUAUGAGAUGGACCCGCGUUCGAUUAGCCAGUUGGCGGGGUAACGGCCCACCAAAGCGACGAUCGAUAGCCGAUCUGAGAGGAUGACCGGCCACAUUGGGACUGAGACACGGCCCAAACUCCUACGGGAGGCAGCAGUGGGGAGUAUUGCACAAUGGGGGAAACCCUGAUGCAGCGACGCCGCGUGAGUGAAGAAGUAUUUCGGUAUGUAAAGCUCUAUCAGCAGGGAAGAAAAUGACGGUACCUGAGUAAGAAGCCCCGGCUAACUACGUG
rnacentral:rRNA from 1 species